ACUCGUCACGUUUGACCCCGCGAGAACACAGAAUGCCCUCGCUGCUUGAACUAAGUCCUACCAGUACGGGUGCUUGUUGGCUCCUGAUGUUGUCUUUAUUUCAAAGGUUAUGUUGAACGCCUUGCUUGUGACUGCAGAAUAGCUUGCCGGCAUGUUUUGCUGGUAUAGUGUACAUGUCUCUGUUGGGCAAUAAUAGCGUGGGAAGCUAAGUUAGCUAGCUAGCGAUGACACUGAAGCUGAUUUUGCUUAAGAAGACAGAUCUGCCAGUUGUGAUUCGUUCCUCCAUUCAUUUGAAGAGAAUAGCCAACUGUAGCACGGCAGCAAUACGGAGUUCUAUUCCAAAACUAGUAAGCUAACUUCCUCAAAGGCAUGCAAAAACCUAGCAAACACCACUAAGAGUCCAGCUGACACUGAUAGAAAAUUGCCAACACACUAACUGGUGUCUUUUGGCAGUAUAGCUGGCAAUGUCUUGCCUGGGAAAGCUUUUCUUCCAUUUUUGCAGGGGGUUCCAGCCUCUUACACAUAGGGCAUAUCUUGGAUGGCUAGUGGGGAAGACACAGGUGUUUAUCUGUCCUUCUCAUGACCAUAUGCUAUCAAAAUGAAUUUGAGGAUGGUACCAAAACUAGUUGCCUAUAAAACCAUACCUCAAAAAGUGUCAAAUUGUUGCAUAGUGUUACUUUAAGCUUUAGUAGAAUUCUGCUGGUUUUUCUUGCAUUAUCACCCACAAGUUUCAUGAUAUCGACACCAUUGUAGAAUUCACAGAUCCGCCUUAAUGCUUAAUGCCGCUUACUUUCCUAUUGGAAAUGAAUGGGCUAUAUCAGGGGUGGCUAACCAGUCCAGCUCAAAGAGCCACAACAAAACCCAACACCAUUUCGAAGAGCCAUCCAGACCAUCAAUGGCAUGAAAUGGUUCAAAAUAACAUAAGAGUCGAAGAGAAGAGAAUAUUAAUUGUAUUUAAUAAAUGAUCAUGUUUUCAAAAUACAGGAGGGCAAGGUGGCGGUAAAAUAACUGUAACAACCCACACACACACACACACACACACACACACACAAUGAGAUUGUUUUGAGAAUAAAAAGAUAAAGUAUUAACCCACACGGGUAAAGUGCUUAAAGAUUAACUAAUAAAUGUUCAAACUAUAAACAAAAAGCGCAGUGUGCCAGCAAGGCACAACGCGGAGCUGCCCAGUGACUGCCAGAGAGAGUGGACGGGAAGAGAGUGGACGGGAAGAGUGUGGACGAGAGACCGGCCCAACCCAUAAUCAGUGUUCACAGCACCAGCAUGACAUGGCCUAUAGGGGAGACAGAUAGACAAUAGCGCCGUAGCGCAAAACCAGCUAUGCUAAUAGCGUAACACACACAACUAACAAGGUGCCAACAUCACAACAACAACAUUAACAACAGUGACUCACGGGCCUAGUGACUUCAUAAAGAGCCUAACUAACAGUUUCAUUGCUAUUUUCUUACCUGAAUAUUCCUAUAAUAUUCACAAUCUCAAGCAGGUCUGCUAACGUGGUCGAUGUUCAGUUUUUUAGACACCAGGUGCUCUUGGUGAAUGAUACAGUGAAAUGGAAAACAAUUAUCACUUUUGCACAGCCCUAUGAGGCCAUUUGCAGCCCCCAACAUAGCCGGUGCGCCGUCUGUAGUUAUUGCGGGCAGUUUUGAGAGAGACAAUAUCGCUCUUUGCAAACGCAAUCAAAUAAGACUGAGAAAUUGUCUAUGGAUUUAAAAUGGUUUUAACAUUGAACCAGACAUGGGUAUGUAUAGAUUGCUAGCAGCGAGCCAAAGAAAGCAAUGCUAAUGUAGAUUAUAUUUAGACUUGCAGUGCUUGCCAGUUAUGAAACAUUACUGAUGAGAGUUUGGUAACUUCCUUGCACUUUCCCUGCUGACAAAGUGUUUUGCCGUCAGAGAACGCUAACUUCUUUCUAUAUAAAUCUUCUGUGUUGUGUUUAAUUUAGCCUGUUUUGUCUGCUGC
ensembl:lncRNA